rnacentral:rRNA from 1 species
AAAAUAGUUUAUACAAGCCCGAUCCCAUCUGAUCUUGGAAGCUAAGCAGGGUCAGGCCUGGUUAGUACUUGGAUGGGAGACCACUUAGGAAGGCAUAA